rnacentral:rRNA from 1 species
CGUGUAGGCGGUGCGGUAAGUCAGGUGUGAAAGCCCUUGGCUCAACCAAGGAAUGUCAUCUGAAACUGCCGGACUUGAGUACGGGAAAGGAGAGUGGAAUUCCCGGUGUAGAGGUGAAAUUCGUAGAUAUCGGGAGGAACACCCGUGGCGAAGGCGACUCUCUGGACCGAUACUGACGCUGAGACGCGAAAGCGUGGGGAGCAAACAGGAUUAGAUACCCUGGUAGUCC